rnacentral:rRNA from 1 species
CCUACGGGUGGCUGCAGUGGGGAAUAUUGCACAAUGGGCGCAAGCCUGAUGCAGCCAUGCCGCGUGUGUGAAGAAGGCCUUCGGGUUGUACAGCACUUUCAGCGGGGAGGAAGGCGGUGAGGUUAAUAACCUCAUCGAUUGACGUUACCCGCAGAAGAAGCACCGGCUAACUCCGUGCCAGCAGCCGCGGUAAUACGGAGGGUGCAAGCGUUAAUCGGAAUUACUGGGCGUAAAGCGCACGCAGGCGGUCUGUCAAGUCGGAUGUGAAAUCCCCGGGCUCAACCUGGGAACUGCAUUCGAAACUGGCAGGCUAGAGUCUUGUAGAGGGGGGUAGAAUUCCAGGUGUAGCGGUGAAAUGCGUAGAGAUCUGGAGGAAUACCGGUGGCGAAGGCGGCCCCCUGGACAAAGACUGACGCUCAGGUGCGAAAGCGUGGGGAGCAAACAGGAUUAGAUACCCUAGUAGUC